GACGAACGCUGGCGGCGUGCUUAACACAUGCAAGUCGAACGGAAAGGCCCUGCUUUUGUGGGGUGCUCGAGUGGCGAACGGGUGAGUAACACGUGAGUAACCUGCCCUUGACUUUGGGAUAACUUCAGGAAACUGGGGCUAAUACCGGAUAGGAGCUCCUGCUGCAUGGUGGGGGUUGGAAAGUUUCGGCGGUUGGGGAUGGACUCGCGGCUUAUCAGCUUGUUGGUGGGGUAGUGGCUUACCAAGGCUUUGACGGGUAGCCGGCCUGGGAGGGUGACCGGCAAAAUUGGGGCUGAGAUGCGGCCAGGGACCCUACGGGGGGAAGAGGGGGGGAAUAUUGCAAAAAGGGCGGAAGCAUGGAGCAAAAACGCCGGUGGGGGGAGGGGGGCCUUCGGGUGGGAAACCGUUUUCGCCUGGGACGAAGGGGGAGGGAGGGUAAGGGGUAAAAAAGCCCCGGCAAAAUACGG
rnacentral:rRNA from 1 species